GUGUGUGUGUUGGCGGGGCGGGCGGUGUGCGCGAGGAACACGGCCGUGCUGGCCCGGGGGUGCAGUGCAGGUGGUGUGUCCCCGUCCCCCGUUACAGCUGCGCGGUCGCAGUGUGAUGGGGAGUGAGGGGAGGCCGCGGUGGGGGUGUGUUGUGUGUGGUUGUGUAGCCAUCUGAGAUGCUGCAGUCACCGAGGGGCGCACGCGUGCGAGGAGCGUGUGUUCAGGGGGACCCUAAGCCCGGCCUCUGGGGGGUGCGGAGACUGGUGCGUGCGAUGGUGUAGCGUUUGUUGUUGCGUAACUGCGUUGUGCAGCUGUGCGCGCCUUUGCAUCAGAGCUGUGCGUGCGUUGGAGAUCCUGAGCGUGUUCCCCAGGGUGCUGUAGAGAGUGACGCGUGUGCGCGUGCAUUGUGCUGUGUUGGUGCGUGUGGUUGUGUAGCUGCCUCUUGCAGCCGUCUGAGCCCCUGCAGGCACUCGAGGUGGGCAUCAGGAUUGAGUAUUUGUGCGGCACCCUGAGUUUGGUCUUGUGGGUGCUGCAGAGACUAUGAUGUGUGUGUUGUGUUGUGCUGUGUGUAUGCGUGGUGGUGUAGCUGUUUCUUUCAGCCAGCCGAGGUCCUGCAGUGGCCGGGGUUGUGUUUGAGCGAGGUCCUGUGCAGAGAGGGGGUUGGUUGUUGUGGUUGUGGUUGUGGCUAUGGUUAUGUAGCAGACUGGCAGCUUUGCAGCCCCUGCAAUGUCAAAGCUUGUAUGUUCAUAGGAGACCCUAAUCCCCCCUUCUGGGAUCUGGUAACGGUUAUGGUGUGUGUAACUGUGUAGCUGCCCCUUGCAGCCAUCAGAGCCCCUGCGGUGGCCAGGGUGUGUGCAUCAGGAUUGUGUGGUUUUUUUGUUUUGUUUUGUUUGUUUUUUUUAGGGGGGGAACCUUAAGCCUGAAGCUGCAGAGACCAUGGGGGAAGGGGGGCGAGGGCGUAUGUGCAUGCGCGCAUCAGGACUGUGUGUGUUGUGAGGAGUACAAGCCUCUGGGGUGCUGCAGAGGGCAAGCUCCAGGCGUGUUGUUUUUUAUCGUCAUCAUCUUAUUAACAGACUUGUUUAAAGAUGUGGGUGGCGGGGGUUGUCUAUUGUAAGUUGUUUCUGGCUUUCUAUAUAUAAGUUGAUAGUGCCCAGGUUGUGUUGGCAGGGGAAGAAGGGGUGUGGGUGGGUGACUUGUGUAAGGGGAGGUGUGUGUGUUAUGCAAGUUGUGGUGUUGUCAGCAGGAGAAGUGUCUUGUUUUGUAUUUGGCUCUGCAUAUGUAAGUUGCGCCCUCAAAGAAAGAGGGGUGCAUGUGCAUUACAUGCAAGUUGUGGCUGUGUGUACAUUGUGUCAGCAGGGGAAGGGGGUGUGUGUCUGAGGUGUAAAGGUGUGGUUGUGCCCAGGUUGUGUAGGCAGGGGACAAGUGUGUGUAUGUGUGUGUCGUGGGCCUUUGCAUCUUUCACUCCAUGUUGGUGUGGGUGUCAUGCCAGUUGUGGUUGUGUAAGCAGGCAAAGGGUAGGUGUGUGUGCACCUGCAGACAGCUCCACACUGAAGCAUGCAGUUCGGGGCUCACACUUGAGCAGCUAGGUGUGAGGGGCACCAUACGUUUCCUGCUGCCCCGCUCUUCUUUUCCCCCCCCAUCUGCCCCCACGGCCAGUGCUGCCCCGUGCGCUUGCCAGGGGCUGGGGGCAAAAUGACGGGGGUGCCUACGGCCAGGGCCACCUCCCUUGGUGACCCUGGUAUACAACAGCCCCCCACAGCUCCCUUCUCACCUGCAACCCCCUGCUCCCCUUGGUGCCCCUCGCUUCUGAUCCGCAACCCCCAGCCCCUUCCUCUUCCUUUCAUUCCAGGCAGAUUAAUGCCGCGUCUCUUCCUCUCCAAAUGUCCAGAGGCUUCCUGCUUUCCUCCCCCCUUCGCAAAAUCCUUCUGCCGCCUCCAGUACAGGAAACAACCAGCUUGUUCUUAAAGACAAGCUCCCUGGAUACAGCAACCAGGAAUCAGAAGAAUGACUGGAAGAAGAUGCAAUGCUGGGUGAAGACACUACAGGCACCCUUGUCCUGCGUCUUGCCCAGGCUAGGAAUAUGGCUGCUAUAGCAGCUGUGGCCACCUGGAGCGUCCUUGCUUCCUGCCAUUGAAGAAUGGGGAUGAGGGGUGGGUGUCCUGCCAGGCCCAGGCACGAGGGGGUGCUGUGGCUCCCAGCUGGAUACCUGGGGUGCAGGAUCAGCCAGGAGGUCCACUGCGGUGGUGACUCAGAUGCUGGGGCUACAGCAGGCUGCAGGGCUGGCGACCUCUGCUCACAGUUGUGGACACCCAGAAAGCCUGAGCCAGGAUGCUCUGGGGUUCAGCCUCACAGGACACCUGGGUUUUGUUUCUGCCACUGACACCCUGUGUGAUCUGGGGCCACUUGGGUCACCUCCCUGUGCCACAGUUUCCUCACCCAUGCCAUAUGCUUCCUUCUCUGGGCAUGGUGCCUCAUGCCUCCAUUUCCCAGGUGAACUGGUAGCAUUCUGGGGAGUAUGCUUCCUUUCUAAGCUGCUGUCUGUAGCUCCUUGCAGGCUUAGAUGUCACCACAGCUGUUGUGUUUCCAGGUAUCCGUGCCAGGGAGGGCUACGAAUGCAUCUUUAACAGCCCUGCUGAGGUGGAGCUGUCAUCGCAGGACUAGUUCCUGGGGCUUCAAGGUGCGUUGGCCUCAAUCCUGGCCUGGCCUAGUCCCACGACAGGGGUUUGGCUGUGAUUAAGGAACCUGGGUAGGAGAAUGGAGGGAAGGUCAGUUUCACUCUGCCCGCAAACACAAGAUACUGUAUUUUCUGGUAUAGUAUGCACUUCCUCCCUAAACUUGGAAGAGUUUCUGCCACAGACUCUCCCUGGGCAGCCUUGGUCAUGCCACCUGUCUCAGUCUCCCCAGAUGCAGCCCUGUACUGCUGCAGCCUGGCUGGGUCUAGUCGGCCUCUUGGCACAGACAAAGCCUCAGUUUUAUGAGAAGGGGAAUGGUGAUCCUCUCCUGGGACCUGCCUCCUCCCCUGUCUGGGGUCCCCUCCAGUGCUCUCAGUACCCCCGUCUCAUUUCCCCCUCUUAGCCCUGUCCAGGUCUCGGCUACCUGGCAUUGCUGGGCAAUGUCCCCCAGGCUGCCUGUUGCCUACUGCCUCCCUUGCACCCCUUUUGUGACCUGCUCCUUUUUCACUUGCACACCAGCUCCAUGGAGUCCUGUCUCCCUUCCCUGCUGCCCCAGGUUAGGCCUCUGGUCUAUAUUUUGUGCCCCUGCCCCCAACCUGCAGCUAAGGAGGCAGCAGGAAGGACCCCAUCUUGUUGGAUAUGGCAGGGUGUUUUUAUUUGGAGAAGUACAAGAGAAGGCAAAGCAAGUUCCUUUGUGCUAUAUGCCAGUUUAGUGGGAUAUUGUUCAUCACUAAACAUUACUAGGGAAAGCUGUGUACAGCAUAAAAUACACAGGCAAACUCACUGCCAUUGGGAGGGGGUGGGGUGGUGUCAGGCUCCCCAGGAUCUAUCCUCAUGGUUGAGACAAGUUUCAGACUCCCACUCCUCUACCUUUUGUGUGGAGGAGUUUCACGGGUUCAAAUGCCUAUUGGGCCUUGUUGCACAUUGCAUUUUGCACUGCUCAUUAGUGCUAGCUUCAACUUGCAGCAGUUGCACCUAAAGGCUAGAAAUUGUCUCCUGCCUGCCCCACACUGCACAGCUGGGACUUGCCACUCUGGAGAGCUAGUGAGUAGGGGGAAGUUUUCUCUGCAGGGCUGGGGAGUCAGGACGGGUUUCUAUCCCUGCUCUAGGUGGGGGUGUGAGAGAUGGGUGGUGGUGUGGGGGGAGUAGUGAGAGAUGGAAAGGAAAUGGGGGUGAAAUUAAGUAAGUUGGCUAUUGAAAGAUAAAAUACGUAAAGACAAGAAACAUUGAAAAAGAGGAAAAAUUAAUCUUGUGUGGUGUUUGAGGUGUGUGCAUUGGGAGGGCUGGUUGUGCUUCCUGGUGUGUCUGGGAGUUGUGAGAAAAGGCACUUCUGGAGAAGCUGCUAUGCCUGCCCCAGGAAGGCAGUCUCCGCUCAUGGGGACCCAAUUGGGUGCCUACCCUGUUCCCUACUCCCCACUUCCCCAGACUCUGCUCCUGGACCCAUCUGUGACUUGGCUAGCUGGCAUCUACUUUUCAGGCUGUUUGCAUGGGGUUGCACCUCUGGGGGAGGGAAGGUUACAACCUCAGGGGCAGCAACAGGAGCUGGCUUGGUACCAGAACUGCUUGCUGGGCAGUAGAGCUCAGGGGGUGGAAAGAUUGAGGCUGGAGGCUGCAAGUGAGAGAGGGACAGAGGGAAAAACCCUGUUCACUCCCUUUCAGCACUUGCUCUCUGCUGCUGUGUGACAAGAGGUUGGGCAAGAUGCAAAGAAUGCGUGUAGCCACUAAAGGGGACCACAUCCCACUGAGAGCGAGCUGAACAGCCUGGAGACUCUUAUAGCUACUUUCAGCAGCAUUAUGUACCUGCACAUAUAAUAGCCUAGUGGGUAAUGGGCUGAAUAGUGGAACGUCAAGACUUAAGAACAUAGGAAGUGCCAUUUACUGAGACCACAAGUCUGUUUUGACUUUCUGGUUCAUUAUCUUCUCCCUGAUUCCUGCUAAUGUCUGUCCACUCUAAAGGGGUGAAGGCCUCUCUCCCUUUUUUUAAUGAUAAUAUAAGAACCAGGGGUCAACAAAUGAAACUAGCAGGGAUUAAGUUUAAAACAAAAAAAGUUCUUUUUCACUCUCUUACAUAGGAGGAGAGAUAAAAGAAGCCAGGCCUAUUCAGUUUAGGAAAAAAGACGAUGGGGGACUCAGGGCUUGCAAACAAGUAUGAAGACAGAGUCAAUAGAGAUUUAUUAUUGACUGUCCCCAUACAAGAACCAGGAAUCAUAAAAGGAAUCUAGUAGGCUGCAAAUUUUAAAACGAAGAAAAGGAAGUUCUGUUUCCCCCAGUGUGUCAUUAAAGUGGGGCUCAUUGCUACCAGCUGUAAUAGAAGUUGAGAGUUUUGCCAAAUUCACAAAAGGAUUGGAAGAAAGGGGCAUCUGUAGCUAUUGAGCAUGGGAGCGAGGGGCACAGCUUCUGCGUAAGAGCUCCCUAGACCUUAAGUGCUGGAGGUGCAAGCGGGGGAGAGAGAGUUGGAAAAACUCUGGCCAGAUCCGGUUCACUCUGCCUUGCAGCAUCUGCUUUCUUCUCCUGUUGGGACAGAGGCCUUGGCAAGAUGGACUCAUGGUCUGACUCAGUAAAUGGCAGUUCCUAUGUUCUGAAAUUGUGAUGUUCCACUAUUCAGCCCAUUAUUACUCACAGGUCAUUAGCCAUGCUGUAUACAAUGCUGGCUGAAAAGAGCAGUAUUAGUCCCCAGGCUAUUCAGCUUGCGGCAGUAUCAUCUAGUCCCCUCUAGUGGUUUCAUGUGUUCCUUGCAUCUUUCCCAAUCUCAUGUCACAGGAAGCAGGCUGCCCCUUCACUGAAGCACCCUCUUGCCCCAGCCAGCCAGGGCAACAUCUACACAUGUGCUGCUGCAGAGUUUUUUUCACUCCAGCCUGAUAGUAAUGCACAUGUAGAUGCGUGACAUUCACUGUGUAGCUAAUUAUUCCAUUGCACAGUAAAUGUCUUGUGUAGUUGUGCCCUGUGAUUCCCUAGUGUGCAAACAUGAUUCACAAGAUGAGCUCAGAGAUUUCAACAAGGCAUCCAUAGUGUUAAAACCAUUUGCCCUGUUGUGGCUUUUUUGAGUUCUUUGCAACGGGAAAAACUGCUCCACCCCCACCCCUAUGCUGUCAAAAAAUGAGUGAAAACAAACCUGGUGUUUUCCAAGGAUUACCCUUGUGUCUGUAACUUGAAUCUAGAAAAGUUGAGAACCACAACACCAUGGGCCUAUGUGCUUUAUUGAAAUGAAUACAUCAAGCUAUUGUUCAUGCCAUGCAUCAAGCACACCUGCCUCCCAUACUGAAGUCUUAUGAUGUGGUUGGGAAAAGAUUUAAGCUCUUCCAGAUGGUGUUUUUUGACUCCUCAACACUAUUAGAAGCUUUGCAGUGGAACACUCUUGAUGUGUUGCUUCUUGAUGGGAGUUCAUAAGGUCUCUGACAUAUGUCUCAGUACAUUUAAGGUAAUAUUUAAUUUCAUCUGAGGAGGCAAAUGCAAGGAAGUUAAGUUCAAAACACUGACCUUCUCCGAGGCCCCGUUGUCAGUAUCUGUGUUCCCACCAGGAGUUCCCAGGUACAAUUGUGAGCAUCUAGUGCUUCCCAGGUGGGCUCGGAGCAGGCCCUAGUCCCUGUGCAGCCAUGGCUUUCUCUGCGGAGAGGCCGUGGCUCUCUGUGCAGGUUGUUUCCCAGAGAGUGCUGGGAGACUUUACCUGUGCUUCCAGCAGGGCGAGAAUAAGAGGAUCCAGCCUGCCAAAGUAGACGGUGUCCAGCCCAAAUGAAAGUGGAGAUUGAGUGCUCGGCUCUGUCCCCAGAUUGGUCACCUCAUUGCCACUUAACAUGCUGCAAAGCAUUGGAAUUAUUGGGUGGGUGAGGUGGAAUGAAGCUUAACUGCAAACUGGUUUAAUUGUAGAUAUACCCAGGAAACAACUGGAGACUGGACGUACACCUUGCUGGGGUUAUUUGACCCCAGCAGUCUUUCUUGCCCAGAGCAGGGUGGCUGGACCCAAUGCUCUCGCAAGGUCCCUUCCAGCCCUAAAACUUCUGUAAAUCUGUGAGUUUAGCCAGAUUCACAAAGGGAUUGGACACAUUCUUGGAGGAAAGGGGUAUCCAUAGCUAUUGAGUAUGGGAGUGAGGGGUACAGCCUCUGAACCAGAGCUUCCUAGGUGUUAAAUCAGCAGUUUUCAAACUUUUUCAGCUGAACCCCCCUUUUGAGUUACAAAUUUGUUUGUGCUCGCUGCCACUGCUGGACAAGAGCUAAGUGGAGUGGAGUAGAGUCAGAUUUGGGCUGCCUGGUUGAGGCUUCCUGCCCUGCUGCUUUUUACUCGGGAGUCCCACAGCAGCCACUCGUUCCCUGCCAGCCCAGCAGCAAGGGGUACAACACCCUGCUUGCCAUCUCCACUGCUGCCAGGCAGGCAGGGGGCACCUUGCCACAGCGGUGUGGCCACCGCAGGACCUCCAGAUGGAAGGCAGCAGGUUGGGAAGCCCCAAGCCUGCAGCAGGCAGCCUGCAUCCACCUGCCCUGUGCACAGAUGGGGGGGGGGGGGCACUUGCCCCCACCACAUGGAUGAGAUGCCCAUGACUCUGUCCUGCUCCAUGCCCUGGCCCCUAUUACCUGUCAGCUCUGUCUGACUCAUGAAGGACUCACCACCCGUGGCCCUGUCCACCUCUGCCUGAACCAGAACUGAUCAGAAGAAGGACUUUUUUAGGAGAUGCACCUAAACCCCUCUAGACAAGGUGAUAGGAGUGAAGCAACUCUCCUGGUCUCAUUUACAUGAGAGAUGGGACAAGAAUGAAUCUUCAGUAGCAUUCAGGAUGGAGAACAGAGAUUCCAAGGCAAGGGCUGCACUGAAC